UUACUCUCUUAGCAGCAUCUGGAUAAGGAUAAAAGAGUGGUGUGUAGCUCAAGACUGAUGUGUUGACAUAUCUUUGGCGGGAAGCUAGUGUGCUGCUUGUUCAGAGUAUACCUUGCCAUAAUUACUGCUAUUAUUGUUUCAUGAGACUAAAAAUUCAUAAUACUUGCUAAUUACAGUAUUAAAAUCAAGACUGAAAAGGAACUAAAAUCAAGUUGUUUUGCCCUUUUGAGGGUGAAGAAGGGGGAGUUGCAUUGAAUAACAGGGAAAAUAAAAUGUUUAACUGGUUUAAAAGACUAAACCAACAUAUCACUUACUAUAUCCCCAAACCAAACUUUGUUUAAAAAAAAGUUAAGGUUACUGUUUAGGCUGUAAAUGCCUCAAUGCAAGGAUUGUCUCACUAUGUAUAUGUGCAUUUUAAGUCUUAGGGAAUUUAUUCUGUACUCCAUAGUGCUCUAUAUUUGAGGUGGAUACUCUGUAUUCUUUAUACAUAACUGAGGUUGGCUACCUGCUUUAAGUGCAAAACUCAACUCAGCCUUAACUAUGGAGUUGUGACAAGCACCUUAAUAUGUCAGGUGUGUUUGGUUUGGCCUUCUGCUAACUUCCCAUCUCUUGCUGGUUUUCUCCAUUUCUCUGUCACUCCUGUAGCGGUUUUCCUUUCUGCCAUCUUUUUCCUCUCUUCUAGGAUCUCUGCACGUAGUGGUGGUGGCCUUGGGCCAUUUAUUGCUCUUUGAAAGAGUGAAAAGCUGUAGGUCAGCAACUGUCUGAGCAGUCUCCAACUUGUGCUGCUCCCACAGAUGGUAGCUCAACCACAAGAUUUUGAGGAGAAUUCAGAUGGGGAAAAAAUGAAAUCAAAAUGUUUUUUGAAUGAAACUUGGAGAGGUGGAGGAAAAGCCAGAAACACAAGAAUUAUGUACAUUCCAAAGCUAUCCAGUACAAUGUUGGAAAACUCUGUUAAAGCAACUCAAGAAAUAUUUCUAGUAUUUUUAAGACAUUAAAACAUUUGUAAGUCUUAAAUUGGUGUGCAGUUUGAGGAUCUAUUUCUUCUCCAGCCUUGAAGCUAGGAUUUCACAUAGGAUAAGAAAAAAUGGGUGGCUACUUACCUGAGGUUUAGGUGCAGCCUACAUUGUUAUACAAAACCAGGAGAAGUUAUUUUGCACCUCAGAACAUUUGCCUGCUGUUCGUUGGUAUUUGGUAUGUAAAGUACAGCAGUUUCCAUUUUACAAAGAAAUGCAAAAAAAUGUUUAGGAGAAAAACCAGCAUAACUGUAUGCUGAAGGUGUGGAAUUUCAUAUUCAGCAGAUAGUUAACUGCAGCAUUCAUGGGUGAUAGACAGAAAUGGGUACUGAGGGCAUCUUAUGACGCUCUGUACCUUAAAGUAGCACCCUGGAACCCCCAUAUUCACCAUUGUCCUAUAAUGAUAUGUUUUGUACAAAUUAUGCUUUGUGAGGUAUCAUUUUGAAAGUCUUUAUCUGUUGAACAUUAGUAUCCUGUUUGAUUGUAUGUGCUAACAUUAUAUAUGAACUUAUGAAGCAUUGCUAUUUGUUACUGAACUAUGUUGGUAAGAUGCCCACAGCCAACCUUUCAGUUACAACAAAGGACUAGCCAGACACGCUGAUGACCCAUUAAAGGGAAUCCACUCUCCCAAGGGCCAUACCAGAAACUUCUCAGAGCACAUAUGUAAUAGAGACCCCUUGACCAAUGGGGACUGCCUGAUCCCCAUAUCACAGCAAAGAUCUUUCCAGCAAGCUGGAAGAAAACAUAAGAGGGGAAGAGACAUAAUCACUUUGCCUUCCUCCCCCUCAUCCCCCAAAUCAACAUCUGCAAGGCAAAAGACCUUGAACUGGGGAAGCAUGGUGCCAGGCUGGAAAAGGGAGUCCAGUCUGUAUAUUGAGGAUCUGUAACCUGCUUGUACCAUAUGUCAGAGUGAGACACUGCUUGAUUCAAAUCCUGUUUAGUUUGUAGUGUGACGUUGCACCCCAUAAAGGCUUUAUGGAAAUAUGCUUAUGAAUGUAUAUAUGACAUAACUGGAAUAUGUGUUAUGCUACAUCUGCCAUGUACCCCAUAUCUCUGUAAAGGUUAUGAUCUACUGAAUAUAUUCAUCCUAUUUGUAUUCAUGUGUCAUUUUUGUACUCAAAGUUAUGAAUAUUGGCUGUGUACUUGCUUGAUUUUAAGUAACCUUAGUAAAGCAUUUGGUCAGCUUCUUGAGAAAGGAAUGUGCAAAUUAAGUGUCCAAUCAAGAAACACUUAAUGGACAAUGGAUCUUGGAAGGCUCCAAUCCACAUAAGAAGUCUGCUUGAGAAUGUUCAAGGUAGCAUGUGAACCAGGCUGCUACCUGUAAGUUUUGAGUCAUGCAUGGACAUCUGACAUGCCCAUGUGACUCCAAAACUCCAUCUUGUAGCUGGAAUUCUACAUGGGGGAGGGAGGAGUAUCCACCCACAAGAGAAAGCCCCUACAUUUUGUCUUCAGCUGGCUCAAGAGACACCACCCUGAAGGAUACCUGAAAGAAACUGGAACAAAGUACAGUAACCACAGGGGGUGAGAGUGAUUGCUGGACCCAGACUAGAAGGAGACUAGUCUGUAAAAGGAAGCUUACUGGAACACCUCUGAGGGUCAGGUUUUAUCUGUAUUCAGUUUUCUUACUGUAUUAGGCAUAGACUUGCAUGUUCUAUUUUAUUUUGCUUGGUAAUUCACUUUGCUCUGUCGGUUACUACUUGGAACCACUUAAAUCCUACUUUCUGUAUUUAAUAAAAUCACUUU